CCCGGUGAUUAUAGGUGUUUGGCCAUACCCGUUCCCAUUCCGAACACGGUCGUCAAGCGGACACCGCCGAUGAUAUUGCUCAAGCGAGAAAGUAGGUCAUCGCCGGGU
rnacentral:rRNA from 1 species